GCGAGUCAGCGAGUAGGGUUGCCGAAAUGUUUUCUUUACCUUUUUUAUAAUAAAUAUGUCUUCCCUUAUUUAAAAACAGAAUCUAGUCGUUGAGGUUUUAUUUCCUUUUGAGAUGAAUAAAAAAAUUAAAUUACAUUGUUUUUUAACAGAGCCAUUUGUAAUGCAACUACUCAGCACCGCAAUGGAGGCAAUGUGGCAGCUGUGGCGAUGGCGGCAACAAGAGGAGCCGGAUUAACGGGAAUCAUGGCGGAGCAGACCAUAAACCUAGACACCAGCGACGGAGGGCAGCCCUCCGAAGCUCCCAACGAGCUCCAGGGAGAGGCCAGCUAGCCUUCAAAGGAUUUGCACCAGAGAGAAACUGUACAGCUGCGAUGAAUGUGGAUCACUAUCUACUCAAUCAGGCUCCUUGAGUCGCCAUCAGCAAAUCCAUAGGAAAGGUCUUCCAGCUGUGACCAGUGUGGGUCUGUGUUUACUCAGUCAGGUAGCCUAAAGACACAUAUGUGUAUUCACAGUGGAGAAGAACCAUACAGCUCUAACCAAUGUGGGAAACGUUUAACUGUGCCAAAAACCUUUAGAGUAGAAAUGCGAAUAAAGAGCUUACUGGAGAGAAACUCGACAUGUGUCGUGAAUAUAGAACCGCUUUGAUGCUUUUAUGUUCCCUUAGAUGACCUCAGUCAUCCUAGAAAACCUUUACUCAGAAAGGUACUCUGGUGUGCCACAUGUUAGUUCAGGCUGGAAACAGACCACACUGGGGGAAAGAAUGCAAAACACUUUCAGGAAAAGGUUGAAUUUAGUGCUCUGUGAAAACCUUCACGGCAGGGAAUAAACUGACAGAUGGUGCUGCAGCUGACCGAGACACUGAAGUCCAGACUUUAGUGUAGACCUUUAGAGUUAAAAAUGUAUUGUGCAUGUAGUCUAUACUUGUUAGAAAGGCUGUUGGGAAGUACCCAUUGACAUCUGUGGUAUUGAAACUGAGCAGAUGAAAUCAAUCAGACGUGUGGAGCAAAUGUUUUGUUCUAAACCU